GGCUCAGAUUGAACGCUGGCGGCAUGCUUUACACAUGCAAGUCGAACGGCAGCGCGGGGCAACCUGGCGGCGAGUGGCGAACGGGUGAGUAAUAUAUCGGAACGUACCCAAGAGUGGGGGAUAACGUAGCGAAAGUUACGCUAAUACCGCAUACGAUCUAAGGAUGAAAGUGGGGGAUUCGCAAGAACCUCAUGCUCCUGGAGCGGCCGAUAUCUGAUUAGCUAGUUGGUGAGGUAAAGGCUCACCAAGUCAACGAUCCCUAGCUGGUCUGAGAGGAUGAUC
rnacentral:rRNA from 1 species